GCGUCCCCCCGGGCUAAGCGGCCCCUCCCAGCUCCCUGCGAGGCCCGGUCGCCGACCCUCCCUCAGCUGCAAGGCGCGUCUGUGGGGAGGGGCAGCUGCUGCCCUGUUUGCGGGCCACCGAACCCCGUGGCUCUGGGCUCUACCGGAAGUGGCGGACGCGGGGCGGGGAGGCUGCGGUGCGGGGGUGGCCCGGGGGUCGCUGGGGACGGGCGCGCUGUCCUGCUUCUCGGCCGGAAUCCGUACGUGUCUGGAGUUCGUCUCGGAGUUUCGCCUACCUGGCUCGGAGGAUGCCAGUGUUCAGUGUGAUAAUCGUCUUAACGCUGCUCCCGGGAGAGAGCACAGGACAGGAAAUCCAGCCCAGCAAGAAGGCAAAGAGUAACGAGGACUUUUCUCCCCAACAUUUUAUUGUGAAAAAAUUUCAAAUAUUCAUCCAAGUUAAAACUUUGUGCAACAGAUUUCUCUACACCCCCAGCUAGAUUCUGUGAACACAUGGGCACAUUCUAACCUUCAAUCUCACAUCCUCUGUACACUGACGACUUAAUAGGGUGCCAGCUGCCCUUGGUUUCAGCCUUCGUCGCCCUGGCUUAGCAAGAUCCUAAAGCCCUAGACAGCAAGGGAAGGAUCUGCCUUCUCCAAGGACCUUCGGGUUUAUUUCAGAGCUUUCUGAAGAGGAGGCUUCUCCCCUCCGCGGCCUUUUGGAGGAAGGAUCCUCCAGGAUAAGACUUUCCUUCAGGUGAAUAUAACAUCAGGGUUAGGACUCGGUUGACACCUACCUACCAAGGAGGCCCUGGCGAACAGUCCUUCGUGGGUUUGGCUCCUUUCUAGAGGAAAGAGCUCUUUUUAGGGUUGAAGUUCUACUUUUUGAAUUCCCUCUCUUCCCUUUUCUGGGGCAGGACAUUAUCCUUCCCCACACAGCCCCAGAUGUGUCAAAAGUGUUAUCAUCUCUUAGUGAACUUCUUUGUGCCUUUAUUGUCUGCUCUGCAAAAUGGGGACAAUAGCAGGGACUCCCGAGCGGGAUGAAGCGCAGAUGCAAGCAGCUAACAUACCACUGUCCACACCUGCCGUCUUGUUGCUCAAGGAACACUCUGCCCUGCAACACCCUACCUUCCGGUUAGGUGGUGUCUCUACCACUUGUUGGCCUAUUAUAUGCAACUUGGGCAAAUCAACUUGCGCCUCGCUGGGUUUAUGUGUAAAUGGAAACGAGUACCUGCUUCGUAGGGUUGUUGUGUAUAUUAAAAAUUCAUCAUGAGAGCACGUGCACAGGCCUAGUACAGAGUGCUAGUUUCUUAGCCUCCUGUUGUUUUCUCACCUCUGGGCUGUUGUCACGUUCGAGCUGACCCCUCUACCUGGAAAAGCCGCCUCCGGCCCCGACACCCCACGGCCCCAGGGGUCUGACCAAAUGUCUGCGGACUUCCAGCAGGGCGCCUCCCACGAGGCGGGGCGGGACAGAGGGUCCACCCGUGAGCCCAGCCUCUCCCCCAGACCCGUAACUUCCUGAGGGAGGGAGGGGACUCUGGCACGCAGUCAACGGUCAGUGGAGGCCAGCUGGGCUGAACCGUGAGGCCGCGAUCCGUUCCCGGGGGCCGCCCCACCCGGCCCGGGGGCGGGCGCUCGGCGCGGGCUGGGUGGGGAUGGGGGUGGGGUGGGACUCCUUUUCCUCGCCGUGGCGGCGGAGGCGCACGGCGUGGCUGGGGCGGCGCGGCGUCGUCGGUCGGUGUCGGAGUCAGAGUCGGAGUCGGAGUCUGAGCAGCCGGAUCUGAGUCUGAGGAGGAGGAGGAGGAGGAGGAAGGCCGAGGCGUCGGAGGAGGCCGAGGCCGGCCACCCAGCCGCGUCCGUGGCGCCGCGAGGAUGGAGGCCCCCGGCCCGCGCCCCGUGCCGGCCCUCGGCGGCCCCGGCCCACUGG
ensembl:lncRNA